UGAGCUGUGGUGUAGGUCACAGACGCGGCUCAGAUCCCAUGUUGCUGUGGCUGUGGGGUAGGCCAGCAUCUACAGCUCUGAUAUGACCCCUAGCCUGGGAACUUCCACAUGCCAUAGGUGCGGCCCUAAAUUUAAAAAAAAAAAAAAAAAAAAAAAAAAGGAGUGCUGGCUUAUAUCUCCAUUUAUCCUCUAUGGUCUCCCAAUAAAGUAAGAGUUUGGAUAGGAGCACCGUGCCCUCCCAAAAGGACAGCCCCUUCUACUUUCUCUCCUCCUAACCUGAACUUAUUGGACACCCUACAGAAUCAGCUCACCUGUGCCCAUCAUGAACCUCGCUGGAAACAUUUCUGCCAAGCUCAUCUCCUGAUUGAGUCUCCAUGUGGCAAGUGCUCCAGGACUGAUGGGAGAUGAUGCAUUUUCUCACCUCCCACCCUCACCCCCCUAGUGGAGUGGAAGCAGAAUCAUUGUCUACCUCCUACUGUGACACCUGGGCUGUCCUACACUGUCAAGACCAUUGACUUGGUUUUACCAAUGAGAAGAAAGAAGGCGAAAGGUGAUGUGCCUGACGUCAUGAUCCCGGGAGAGGAUGACCUGGAAUCUAUCACCAGGUCUCCGACAGCCCAGCCUCCUUCCGGUUCCUCCCCGCAGCUCCUCCCUGCACACUCUGGGCCUCUCCAUGAAGAAUGCGGUAGCAGGAGGCCAUCUCGAAAAAUCCCUCUACUAUGCUCAAGAAUAUCAGAGAGAGAAUCAGUUCACACUUGAUGCUUAUUGAUCAGCUUCUCCCUAUUACUAUUAAAAUUAUGCCGGAAUGACAUAAUAAUAAUUCGAAAAAGGAAAAUGUUUAAGGUAAAUGAAUAUCUAAUUAUUAAAUAUUCAUAUUGUGUUCAUUUUAUUUUGAUCGUUAAUCUUUACUGUCUGUGUGCAAGAAAAAUUAGGGCAAAGAUCAUUCGAAGAAAGACAAUUAUUUUAGAAAUUAUCCUAACGUCAAAUGAAGAUGGUCUGAAAGAAGGAAGUGACAGAAAAUAAAAAGGAAGGUGUUUUUUUUUAGAAAACA
rnacentral:lncRNA from 1 species